rnacentral:lncRNA from 1 species
GGGAUUGUUAUGUUUAUAAAAGCAAUGAUUGGAAUUGAUUUUGCUAUUAUUAAGAUUUUUACUUUAAAAAUUAAACAUCUCUGUAGAAAAAAAUAUCAUGUUGAUAACUUUGAGUGGUAAAAACAAACCUUACAUCUUUAAAAUAAGCUUGAAGCUAAAAAAAUAAUUAAUAUAUUUUUAUUAUUUUUUUAUUUGUGAUAAUGUUAUUAACAUUAAAUAAUAAGUUAAUAAAUAAUAAGAUAACAAUAAGAGUCAUGCAAACAUAAAUAAAAAAUUUGAUAGCUCAAAAAUCAGGGUAAGAUUAAUGUAAGAAUAAAGAAAAAUUAAAUAGAAAAAUAUGUAAAAUAAUUCUUUGUGUUUUAGAAUUGGUUUUUACAUUUAUAGUUAUAAAAUUAAAUUUAAGCAAAAAUAAAUGUUAUUAUUAUAUUAUAAUUAUCUGAACUUCAAUUUAAAUGUAUUUUUUACCAUUCACUUAUUAAUAGUAAUGUUAAUUACAUAAAUGUACUUGUCUGUUUUAUUUUAUAUCAAUUUUCUAUGAGUAUAUAUGAAAACUUAAAAAAGACAAGUAUCUAUUUAAUGCGUAAGACUAAAAUUAAUAAUUAUAAACAUUACUUAAAAACAUAGAUUAGGAACCAGAUGCUGGCAAAUAGAUUUGAGUGCUUGCAUUGGUAAAGAAGUUGGCGUGGAUUUGAAGGUCUGCACAUGAAGAUCGAACUUUAAUAAGAUUUGUAUUUUCAUGAACCACACACAAGUUUUGAGACAGCAUAGAGUUGAGAGAGGGUACCAUAUUCAUUUGAUUGAUAUUCUAUUUUAUUCAGCGGAGAAAAUAGUCAAAGUGGAAGCCACCCAGACAACUAUGCAGGAAUCGACCGUUCCUGACUAGAAGCAUCUUGAGAUUGGCUUCACCCGCACUCCUCAUGCGAUACCGAUCCGCAGGAGCAGAAGUGAGAGAGAGAGUGUGGAUAUGUGUGUGAGCAGAAAAGCGAAUCUGGCAGCGUGGCUGAGGAGGAGGAUCAAGCAGAGGCAGAGGCAGAGAGCGAGAGCGAUGCAGAGGAGGAAUGAGCUACUGGAAUGAGCGUGGGAGCGUAGAAGAAGCGUGGAAUCAGGGGUGGGGGGUUGGUUGGUGGAGGCGAGGGUUUUGGGGGGGGGGGGGGGGGGGGG